AAAACAGAACGUGAGUGAGGGAGAUAGAGAGAAAGGAGUAGGAUAGAAAGAAAGAAAUAAACAGAAAGGAAAGGAAACAAAAGAAGAAAAAAGACACUGGGAGAAAGAAAAGGAUAUGUGAGAAUGAAAAUAGAGAGGGAAGAAGAGAAAAGGAAAGGGGUAGAAGAAAGAGAAGGGAAGGCAUGAUUACAAAGAUUAGUUUUGGAGAAUUAGAUUUGGGAUUCAAAGAAGGCAAGCAUAGAAGCAGAUUAAGAUGAUAAGAAACUUGGUUUUCUUAAGUCUUGCAGGUUAUUAAACACAAAAACUAUGAAGAUUAGUGAUCGAAAGCAAUUAGAGUUAGUUGGAGUUUUGUAUAUGUAAGAUCAUUAUUCCGGAAGUGAGUACUCUUAGUGAUCUUGAGUUGGAUUUAUCCUUAUACCGAAAUGAGAAGUCAAUUCCAUUAUCAAA